UCUAGAAAAUUUAAAAAAAAAUUAUAAAGUUUAUUAAAUAAUAUGGCGUGAAGGAUCACGAAAAACAUAUGUGCUUUUGAUGGCGUGAUAGAUCAUGAGGAGAUAAAAUAAAUAAUUUAUGGCGAGAAAGGUCAUUAAAGCACUAAAAUGUAUUCUAUGACGAGAUCGAAUAUGGGACACCAAAUUAAUGCUUUUAUUGGGGAUAAAAACUAUGAGGAGACAAAGAUUUACAUAGUUUCGAUAUCUGUCGAUUGACCCUGGCAUUAUGGCAAUUAAAUCUUGAAAUGUGAUGAAGGCACGAUAUAUAUGUCCAUACCAAUAAAAGUCAUAGGGACAUAAAAUAAGUGAUUUGAAUAUGAAAAAAAAUAUGAGGGGAAAAAGGCCACCGUAGAUAGUUAUGUAGCACUGAUAAAUUAAUAUGGUACUAACGAUGAUGAAUGAUCGACAAAGAAUAUUAGAGGGAAUUGAUAUAUGAAUCUAAGCGUAAUUCGGAUCUACCUACCCGAGCUUCGAAUAAGACAAAAGGAUUUAUGCCUCGUAUGAAAAUUUCGUAUGGAGUUAAAAAGGUUCCCAGCAUGAUGAUCAAAACAACUUAUUAAAUAUUUUACUAUUUUAGUUAUGUAAUUUUUUGAAAAUUAAUGAAUGUAUAUUUUGUAAAUUUAUGAACUAAAUUAAUUAUUUAUAAUAAAUAUAUAUAUUUAAAAAAU